GAUUAAUACUCCAUAAUAUAUUGAUUGGCAUCAAUUAAUAUUGAAAGCUCCGGCGGAUAGAGAUGGGCACGCGCAAGAUUAGUUAGUUGGUGAGGUAACGGCUCACCAAGACGAUGAUCUUUAGGGGGCCUGAGAGGGUGAUCCCCCACACUGGUACUGAGACACGGACCAGACUCCUACGGGAGGCAGCAGUGAGGAAUAUUGGACAAUGGGUGCAAGCCUGAUCCAGCCAUCCCGCGUGAAGGACGACUGCCCUAUGGGUUGUAAACUUCUUUUGUAUAGGGAUAAACCUCUCCUCGUGAGGAGAGCUGAAGGUACUAUACGAAUAAGCACCGGCUAACUCCGUG
rnacentral:rRNA from 1 species